rnacentral:misc_RNA from 1 species
GCCAGAAAUGUUGGUUGAUUUCAAAGAAAGGCUCUCAAGCUUGUCAAGAGUCAAAAGAAAUGCAGCCACCGUGCGAAAAUCAGUGCUUAAAGGAAUGAGAGACAGGUCUAGAGAGGAGACUCUGUUUGUUUCUUGGCAUUUUACACCAGCGAAGGUACAUGGGUUUUGGUUAGGGAGCCAGGUUGGGAGAAUAUCUGGGUUAGCUAGAGCGUUCUUGAAGUUGAUAAGAUUUUGGGCGUCUUUGUUUGUUGAGGUAAAAGGUGGUGAAAGCACUGGUGAAGCUUGUAGCUGUAGCUGCAGAGAGAGAAAAAUGAAAGAGACAAGCAACAGAGAGAAGUGGGUUUUCAUUUUCUCUUAAUGGGUUUUCAGAAAAAAUAGAGAAACAGAGUGGUGCUUAGGGCUUCAGAGGUGCCAUUAGAGGAAGAGUAUUAAGCUCUAUGGUUUCUGGUUUUAGAGAGAGAAAGUUUGCUUUUUUUAAUUAUUUUUUUUCCCUUCUUGGGAAAGAAGAAGGAGAAGAGGAAGAAGAAG